rnacentral:lncRNA from 1 species
UAUUUUUUCACGGUCGUUAUGUUCUCGUACAAGUUUGCAUGGACUUUUAUUGAGCGUUGGAAACAGGAAGUGCUUGAAUUUGUAACAGAGUAAGAACAUUUAUGUCUGACAUACAUGUAGUCCAGUGUCAUGAACUGUGACCAACAUAUUCCGCAACCUGGUUGAACAUUGAUGAUAGAAACCAGCUUUGAAGCAAGCGACAUUACAGAAACAAAACGUCAACUUUGUCUUCCUGUAUUGGGCUGAUGAAAGAACAACGCGUGUAUUUUAUUCGUAUAUACUUUGGAAUGAGAUGGAAGUUAUUGAGUUGCUGAUCUUGCAAGGAAAUACGGCCUUAUCUGGAACAUUUAACAAUAUGAAUAUCGCAAUUUCCAGACAAAAACAGGAUACAUUUGAACUUGCAAUGCAGAACACUCUUCCAGCUUGUGAAUCAGCACAGUAUAUUAUUCUGAGUUUCUUGAAUAUAACAUUGCAUUACAACAAAGAAUCUACAAAAUAGUGGUACACUGAUCUAGUGCGAUCCACAAAGUCAGCACACCUUCAAGAAUUGUGCAUCUUCAAUUGACAAUUUCCAACGGGACAUAUCCUGACCCAUGAUUGUUCAGUAACUACUGGAAGCGUCUGUUAUGAUAUCGAAUUCAAUCGGGAGUGUCAUUCACCAAAAUUUUGUUUACGUUCCAGUCAGAUGUUGAACGAUUAAAAAGACGAAAGGUAAAUAACUGUCAAGUUUGUUACAUAAUCUGAGAGCCUAACACGAGUAUGAUUGGUCAAUUCCUCAUUUGGACGUCGUUUGAAAUACGUACUUUAUGAAUGGAAAACAAACAUCCGGGUGCUAUAAGAUGCAAUGUGUAAUAUCUAAUCUACCAUAAUAUGUGAGGAAUAUGCUUCAUAUUUAUAACUUUGUAGCUGUUGGAAAAUACUAAAAAUGGACUUAUUACUGUUCGCUUGUGAAGCAUUGUCUUUCCUGCAGCCUCUAAAUUGUCGAAAGAACGUUGUGGUAAUAACGAACCCGUGAACAAAUUCGGAAUUCAAUCGCUUAUGGUAAUGAAAGCUUCUCAAAAUAUUCUGAAUAAUCGGCUUAUAUUUGCGAACAGUCAUUCGUAUGAUAACUAUGAACAUGUGCGUACGAAUAUGGUACAUAAGUUCUUUGUAUGUUUGCAUGGUGAUAAAAUAUAAUAGGUUUUGUUUGUGGAAACACCACGUAAAUUUAUUACUGCAAUUAUGGUACAGUUGCGAUGGUACGAAUAUGGUACAGUUGCGAUGUUGAGCAAUACCAGAUUGACACCAAAAACCUAGAAAAUUCUACAAGAAACUACCAGACGAAUUUUGACAAACCACAAUCUAGGUUGUGAAAGAAUGUUGAUUUGAAUGUUGGUGAUACGCAAAAACCUUUAAAAUAUAUUUGAACAUUCUACAGUUUUAGAAUUUUACAAUUUUAUUGUAGCUUUGCUCUGAGAGCGAGUACAGUUACAAAGUGUAAACGCUAUCGAUAUUGACCAGAGGUACUCCACCUUAUUCUUAACAAAAUGUCCUCAAGCUUUUAUUUGCUUUCUAAGAAAAAAAUAUUUGAUAGCCGUUUGAGUAACUAAUAAUUAUUUUCAUAUUUUUAUCAAGGAUAGAAUUUCUGUAUCGAACACUGCUUAAUUUAGUAAGCUCAGAAUUCAGACUUGUGACAACCUGUCUGAUUUAUUCUCUAUUUGUCUCUAAUCUCUGGCAUCUCAACGCAUUUAAAACAAUUUACUCUUCUUAUAAGGCUAGACAAAGUCCGCUAUACUCAGUCUGGUGUCUUGUGUCAGAUCAUGCAUGUUUUAAUCCAUAUCAUGGACUAAAAUAGUUCUUUUCGGACUUUGUUUCGCGUUAUAUUUUUAUUGAGAUUUUUUGCCCGCUUCAAGUGGUUAUACUCAAAUUUAUAGAGCGCGCAUGUCAGAAAGGGUCAUGAUAGCAAGUAACAAAAAUAGCCAAAUAGAUCAUUGGAAGCUUGGGAGUACGCCAAGUUAAAGACUUUAGCAUCACAAUGGGACGAUAGUAAAUUAUAUAUUAAAUGCUGCUCACAAUAAACAGAAAUUACUAAAUUAGUUUGCAUGCCUAAUUUAUAGCAUAUUGUAUAGAGUUUGUACCAGUAGC